GAUGAACGCUGGCGGCGUGCCUAAUACAUGCAAGUCGAGCGAACGGACGAGAAGUUUGCUUCUCUGAUGUUAGCGGCGGACGGGUGAGUAACACGUGGAUAACCUACCUAUAAGACUGGGAUAACUUCGGGAAACCGGAUCUAAUACCGGAUAAUAUUUUGAACCGCAUGGUUCAAAAGUGAAAGACGGUCUUGCUGUCACUAAUAGAUGGAUCCGCGCUGCAUUAGCUAGUGGGUAAGGUAACGGCUUACCAAGGCAACGAUGCAUAGCCGACCUGAGAGGGGGAUCGGCCACACUGGAACUGAGACACGGUCCAGACUCCUACGGGAGGCAGCAGUAGGGAAUCUUCCGCAAUGGGCGAAAGCCUGACGGAGCAACGCCGCGUGAGUGAUGAAGGUCUUCGGAUCGUAAAACUCUGUUAUUAGGGAGGAACAUAUGUGUAAGUAACUGUGCACAUCUUGACGGUACCUAAUCAGAAAGCCACGGCUAACUACGUG
rnacentral:rRNA from 1 species